rnacentral:rRNA from 3 species
UACGACUCUCGGCAACGGAUAUCUAGGCUCUCGC